UUAUAAGAAUAAUCGGUGUUAAAAGUGGUAUAUUUCCGUAACGAUGCCGCGGACCUAUAAAAGAAAGACUGAGAAAUCUUCUUGGUCUGCCGACGACCUACAAUCAGCUCUUACAGAACU